UACGGGGGGGAGCAAGCGUUGUUCGGAUUUACUGGGCGUAAAGGGCGCGUAGGCGGUAGCACAAGUCAGUUGUGAAAUCUCCGGGCUUAACUCGGAAAGGUCAACUGAUACUGUGCGACUAGAGUGCAGAAGGGGCAACUGGAAUUCUCGGUGUAGCGGUGAAAUGCGUAGAUAUCGAGAGGAACACCUGCGGCGAAGGCGGCCCCCUGGUUGGAUACUGACGCUGAUACGCGAAAGCGUGGGGAGCAAACAGG
rnacentral:rRNA from 1 species